rnacentral:rRNA from 1 species
CCAGCACCCCGAGUGGUCGGGACGUUUAUUGGGCCUAAAGCAUCCGUAGCCGGUUCUACGAGUCUUCCGUUAAAUCCAACUGCUUAACAGGUGGGCUGCGGAAGAUACUAUAGAGCUAGGAGGCGGGAGAGGCAAGCGGUACUCGAUGGGUAGGGGUAAAAUCCGUUGAUCCAUUGAAGACCACCAGUGGCGAAGGCGGCUUGCCAGAACGCGCUCGACGGUGAGGGAUGAAAGCUGGGGGAGCAAACCGG